rnacentral:rRNA from 1 species
AUUGAACGCUGGCGGCAGGCCUAACACAUGCAAGUCGAGCGGUUGAAGGGAGCUUGCUCCCUGAUUCAGCGGCGGACGGGUGAGUAAUGCCUAGGAAUCUGCCUAUUAGUGGGGGACAACGUUUCGAAAGGAACGCUAAUACCGCAUACGUCCUACGGGAGAAAGCAGGGGACCUUCGGGCCUUGCGCUAAUAGAUGAGCCUAGGUCGGAUUAGCUUGUUGGUGAGGUAAUGGCUCACCAAGGCGACGAUCCGUAACUGGUCUGAGAGGAUGAUCAGUCACACUGGAACUGAGACACGGUCCAGACUCCUACGGGAGGCAGCAGUGGGGAAUAUUGGACAAUGGGCGAAAGCCUGAUCCAGCCAUGCCGCGUGUGAAGAAGGUCUUCGGAUUGUAAAGCACUUUAAGUUGGGAGGAAGGGUUGUAGAUUAAUACUCUGCAAUUUUGACGUUACCGACAGAAUAAGCACCGGCUAACUCUGUGCCAGCAGCCGCCGUAA